UAUACCCCUUUGACAAAAUUCUCACACCCCAAAACGGGCUUAUUACCCACUCCCCCAUUUUUCAUUUCCCCAAAAUCGACGGAGAAUCACAAGAGCCCUAAAUUCCUCACUACCCGCUUCUCCAACACCAGUGACGUGCCUGAUCUCGCUACGUCAAUCAACGGUAGUGAGUGAGGUUUGUUCAGCAAUUGGAUUUCGAUACCGGAUGAGUAGAAUCUUCUACAAUUUCGUGAGCAAAGCGCAAGAAGGGACUACACACUUGUGACUCUAACGGCUCAAAUUCAUCAGACAAGCUCAGCCGCAGUCCGCCUCGUCUCAUCUCCAGAAGCGAAUUUACAUCACCUAUCUUUCGAAGCGAGCUUUGACUGACUUAAUCCCCAGUUGUUAUUUAGUCGACCAACGCAGAAAUAAUUAUGCCAACACGUCAUACAAAUCACGCUCGUUUGUGCCUGAUGCUCGAGAAUAUUAUGUUGCUAUAUCGAGUUGAGACGACGACUCUUAUUCAUCGAUAUCUGCGCACACGUUCUACACGGAAAAAAUGGAGGAUUGUUGAGCAUGCUCAUCGGUUAAGCGUAUUGAACAAGAUCCCAGUACAGUUGCAGCGCUUGAAUCGCCUACUGCAUGUGUCAAAUGCAGAUUGCGUCUCCAAUCUGCGUAUGGACCGUAACACGUUCGGUCGACUAUGUCGUAUACUCAGUGAGCGUGGGGGUCUGAAGAUGGGAAAAUGCGUUGGGGUGGAAGAACACGUAGCUAUAUUUGUGUCAGUCUUAGCGCACCAUAGGAAAAACCGUAGUUUGGGGUUUAGUUUCUGGCGUUCGGGUGGCACUAUUUCUUAUUAUGUGCAUAGAGUUUUAUGUGCUGUAGUCAAUUUACACUCUGUCCUCCUAGCGAAGCCCAUACCUGUCCCCGAUGAUUGCACGGACCACCGUUGGAGAUGUUUUAAGGGAUGUCUAGGUGCCCUUGAUGGUACCCACAUCAACGUGUUAGUGAGUAAUAAAG